rnacentral:rRNA from 1 species
AGAGUUUGAUCAUGGCUCAGGAUGAACGCUGGCGGCGUGCUUAACACAUGCAAGUCGAACGGAAAGGCCUUGUGCUUGCACAAGGUACUCGAGUGGCGAACGGGUGAGUAACACGUGGGUGAUCUGCCCUGCACUGUGGGAUAAGCCUGGGAAACUGGGUCUAAUACCAUAUAGGAUCGCAUCUUGGAUGGUGUGGUGGAAAGCUUUGCGGUGUGGGAUGAGCCUGCGGCCUAUCAGCUUGUUGGUGGGGUAAUGGCCUACCAAGGCGGCGACGGGUAUCCGGCCUGAGAGGGUGUACGGACACAUUGGGACUGAGAUACGGCCCAGACUCCUACGGGAGGCAGCAGUGGGGAAUAUUGCACAAUGGGCGCAAGCCUGAUGCAGCGACGCCGCGUGGGGGAUGAAGGCCUUCGGGUUGUAAACUCCUUUCGCUAUCGACGAAGCCACUUGUGGUGACGGUAGGUAGAUAAGAAGCACCGGCUAACUACGUGCCAGCAGCCGCGGUAAUACGUAGGGUGCAAGCGUUGUCCGGAAUUACUGGGCGUAAAGGGUGCGUAGGCGGCCCUUUAAGUCGGAUGUGAAAGCCCGCGGCUUAACCGCGGAAUGGCAUUCGAAACUGGAGGGCUUGAGUGUCGGAGAGGGUAGUGGAAUUCCCAGUGUAGCGGUGAAAUGCGUAGAUAUUGGGAGGAACACCAGUGGCGAAGGCGACUACCUGGACGAUAACUGACGCUGAGGCACGAAAGCUAGGGGAGCAAACAGGAUUAGAUACCCUGGUAGUCCUAGCCGUAAACGAUGGGUACUAGGUGUGGGUGGUUUCGAUACCAUCCGUGCCGUAGUUAACGCAUUAAGUACCCCGCCUGGGGAGUACGUGCGCAAGCAUGAAACUCAAAGGAAUUGACGG